UCCUACGGGAGGCAGCAGUAGGGAAUUUUCCGCAAUGGGCGAAAGCCUGACGGAGCAAUACCGCGUGAGGGAUGACUGCCUAUGGGUUGUAAACCUCUUUUUUCAGGGAGGAAUAAAAUGACGUGUACCUGAAGAAUAAGCAUCGGCUAACUCCGUGCCAGCAGCC
rnacentral:rRNA from 1 species